CCCUACCCCUUUCGUAAGAAAAGAUGAGAAAUCUCUCAAUUUUUCCGCACACCCAUUUCCCACCCCUCCAAAGAAAAGUCCACCAUAUCGUCUUCUCCCCAAGAAAACAGAGAUACAUAGGGAGUGAAUAACUCAAGUUUUUAACCACAUUCCCUAGAAACCUACAUAAGGGAGUGAACAACUCAAGUUCUUAACCACAGCGACUUCCAUUGCAGAAUUGAUUUGUUGGAGAAAAAUCAGAAAACAAACCCAGAUAAUGAUUUUUUUCAAGCUCUUUAUAAAGGAAAUCAACGUCUUUUUUAUUAUCGCAGAAAUCAACUUUUCCUUCCUACCUAUUUUUGCUGGUCUGAGUGCUAAUAACUGGUCAUAUUCUUCGAUUUUCCUUUUGUCCAAAGUAUUAGAAUAUCAGGCUGUAAGAGACAUCCUUUCUCCUGAGAACAUUAACGGAGACACACCUAGAGAUGGAGUUCAGAGGCGUAUCAAACAUCUUCUCAUAAAAUGGGACGGAGGGAGUACUUUGUGACAUUUAGAAGACUCUGUAGGAAGGUUCAGAGAGCUUUUGCAGUUGGAUUUGGUGGUAGGAUAACCACUAAGGAGUUGAAAGGGGUACCACCUCCAAGGCUGCAUUGUUGGAAGAGCUGAAAACAACUCGAAAUGAAAAGGAAUCACUACAAAAGCGCAUGGAUAUUCUAGAUAGUAAAUAUGAGCACCUUGAAAGUAUAGUGGUUCGUCCUCCUUCAUCACCUCCAUCAGACGAAGAAUUUGAAGAUUAAAGAAUGUGUUGUCGAAGAUUGUGGGGCCAUCUGAAAAGAAGAUUAUAUUUUUAUUGUUUUAUUGUUGGUGCAACGACGAUUGUACCUAUGCUACAAUUUCAUUUUCUCAAUUUUUAGGAUUUGGUAGAUGUCGAACAAGUACGUUUUGUGAUAUUAUGUCGAACAUGUAUGUCAUUAGAUCUUAUGUCAAAAAUGUAAUAGUUUUUCAGUA